rnacentral:rRNA from 1 species
CGCGUUUGUGCCUAAUACAUGCAAGUCGAGCGAGCUUGCCUAGAUGAUUUUAGUGCUUGCACUAAAUGAAACUAGAUACAAGCGAGCGGCGGACGGGUGAGUAACACGUGGGUAACCUGCCCAAGAGACUGGGAUAACACCUGGAAACAGAUGCUAAUACCGGAUAACAACACUAGACGCAUGUCUAGAGUUUGAAAGAUGGUUCUGCUAUCACUCUUGGAUGGACGUACGGGUCGAGACUGCGGUGCAUUAGCUAGUGUUUGGUAAGGUAACGGCUUACCAAGGCAAUGAUGCAUAGCCGAGUUGAGAGACUGAUCGGCCACAUUGGGACUGAGACACGGCCCAAACUCCUACGGGAGGCAGCAGUAGGGAAUCUUCCACAAUGGACGAAAGUCUGAUGGAGCAACGCCGCGUGAGUGAAGAAGGGUUUCGGCUCGUAAAGCUCUGUUGGUAGUGAAGAAAGAUAGAGGUAGUAACUGGCCUUUAUUUGACGGUAAUUACUUAGAAAGUCACGGCUAACUACGUGCCAGCAGCCGCGGUAAUACGUAGGUGGCAAGCGUUGUCCGGAUUUAUUGGGCGUAAAGCGAGUGCAGGCGGUUCAAUAAGUCUGAUGUGAAAGCCUUCGGCUCAACCGGAGAAUUGCAUCAGAAACUGUUGAACUUGAGUGCAGAAGAGGAGAGUGCGGA